CCCUUAGAUGUUCUGGGCCGCACGCGCGCUACACUGAUACGUUCAACGAGCUCCUUGACCGAGAGGCCCGGGUAAUCUUUGAAACCGUAUCGUGAUGGGGAUAGAACAUUGCAAUUAUUGUUCUUCAACGAGGAAUGCCUAGUAAGCGCGAGUCAUCAUCUCGCGUUGAUUACGUCCCUGCCCUUUGUACACACCGCCCGUCGCUCCUACCGAUUGAACGUGCUGGUGAAGCGUUAGGACUGGAGGUCUUGGGCCGGUUCGCCUGCCCAUAGCUUCGGGAAUUUCGUUGAACCCUCCCGUUUAGAGGGAGGAGAAGUCGUAACA
rnacentral:rRNA from 1 species